rnacentral:rRNA from 1 species
UACAAUGGCGCGUACAGAGGGCAGCGAACUUGCGAGAGUAAGCGAAUCCCAAAAAGCGCGUCGUAGUCCGGAUCGGAGUCUGCAACUCGACUCCGUGAAGUCGGAAUCGCUAGUAAUCGCAAAUCAGAAUGUUGCGGUGAAUACGUUCCCGGGCCUUGUACACACCGCCCGUCACACCAUGGGAGUGGGUUGCACCAGAAGUAGUUAGUCUAACCUUCGGGAGGACGAUUACCACGGUGUGAUUCAUGACUGGGGUGAAGUCGUAACAAGGUAACCA